GUGAAUCAUCGAAUUUUUGAACGCAAAUUGCACUCUUUGGUAUUCCGGAGAGUAUGCCUGUUUGAGGGUCAGUUUAAAUAAAAAUCGGUGUGGUGGCUGCCUUUCGUGGUGACGCACCGGAUGUGGGUCGUCCUGAAUUCGGUUAAGUGACCUAAAAUUGAGCAUGAUUUUUUUCGAACGUAUGUAAAUGAUUUUACGAACGUUUGGGAUAUCGA
rnacentral:misc_RNA from 1 species